rnacentral:rRNA from 1 species
UGCCAGCAGCCGCGGUAACACGAACCGUACGAACGUUAUUCGGAAUCACUGGGCUUAAAGGGUGCGUAGGCGGCUCGGUAAGUUGGGUGUGAAAUCCCUCGGCUCAACCGAGGAAUUGCGCUCAAAACUGCCGGGCUUGAGGGAGACAGAGGUGAGCGGAACUCAGGGUGGAGCGGUGAAAUGCGUUGAUAUCCUGAGGAACACCAGUGGCGUAAGCGGCUCACUGGGUCUCUUCUGACGCUGAGGCACGAAAGCUAGGGUAGCGAACGGGAUUAGAUA